GGCUCAGGAUGAACGCUGGCGGCGUGCUUAACACAUGCAAGUCGAACGAAGCACUUUGAUCGAUUUCUUCGGAUUGAAAUUUUAGUGACUGAGUGGCGGACGGGUGAGUAACGCGUGGGUAACCUGCCUCACACAGGGGGGAUAACAGUUGGAAACGGCUGCUAAUACCGCAUAAGCGCACAGUACCGCAUGGUACAGUGUGAAAAACUCCGGUGGUGUGAGAUGGACCCGCGUCUGAUUAGCUAGUUGGCAGGGCAACGGCCUACCAAGGCGACGAUCAGUAGCCGACCUGAGAGGGUGACCGGCCACAUUGGGACUGAGACACGGCCCAAACUCCUACGGGAGGCAGCAGUGGGGAAUAUUGCACAAUGGGGGAAACCCUGAUGCAGCGACGCCGCGUGAGCGAAGAAGUAUUUCGGUAUGUAAAGCUCUAUCAGCAGGGAAGAAGAAAUGACGGUACCUGACUAAGAAGCACCGGCUAAAUACGUG
rnacentral:rRNA from 1 species